rnacentral:rRNA from 1 species
AGUCAUACCCCGGCCAAAUGCACCUAAUCUUGUCUAGUCUCAGAAGUUAAGCAGGUUUGGAUUUGUUAGAAUCUGGAUGGGAGACUGCCUGGGAAUACUGGGUGGUGUAAGUU